AGCAGCCGCGGUAAUUCCAGCUCCAAUAGCGUAUAUUAAAGUUGUUGCAGUUAAAAAGCUCGUAGUUGAAUUUCGGGAUCAGACUGUCGGUCGUGCCUCGGUACGCACUGGCAUUAUUGGUUCCUACCUUCUGAAGAACCGCGAUGUCAUUAAUUUGGUGUCGUGGGGAAUCAGGACUGUUACUUUGAAAAAAUUAGAGUGUUUAAAGCAGGCGCACGCUUGAAUACAUUAGCAUGGAAUAAUGAAAUAGGACGUUUGAUUCUAUUUUGUUGGUUUCUAGGAUCGACGUAAUGAUUAAUAGGGAUAGUUGGGGGCAUUAGUAUUCAAUUGUCAGAGGUGAAAUUCUUGGAUUUAUUGAAGACUAACUACUGCGAAAGCAUUUGCCAAGGAUGUUUUCAUUAAUCAAGAACGAAAGUUAGGGGAUCGAAGACGAUCAGAUACCGUCGUAGU
rnacentral:rRNA from 1 species